rfam:Beauveria bassiana ARSEF 2860 unplaced genomic scaffold BBA_S00001, whole genome shotgun sequence.
CUCUUGCGCCUGCUGCGGACAAAUCAGGUGAAUAUGCGUAUCAAUCGCGCCGGCCGUGAUGAUUUUGUUCUCGCCCGCAAUCACAUCCGUGCAGCUACCCACGACCAUGUUGGGCGUCACGCCGUCCAUGACGUCCGGGUUGCCCGCCUUGCCUAUCCCGACAAUCAUGCCGUGUUUGACGCCGAUAUCCGCCUUGACUAUCCCCGUGUAGUCGACAAUCAGCGCAUUCGUAAUGACGAGAUCCAGCGACUCGGCGUCGGGCCGCCCCGUGGCCUGGCCCAUGCCCUCGCGGAG